rnacentral:rRNA from 1 species
GCAGCCGCGGUAAUACGUAGGGGGCAAGCGUUAUCCGGAUUUACUGGGUGUAAAGGGAGCGUAGACGGUAUGGCAAGUCUGAAGUGAAAGCCCUGGGCUCAACCGAGGGACUGCUUUGGAAACUGUCGUACUAGAGUGCAGGAGAGGUAAGUGGAAUUCCUAGUGUAGCGGUGAAAUGCGUAGAUAUUAGGAGGAACACCAGUGGCGAAGGCGGCUUACUGGACUGUAACUGACGUUGAGGCUCGAAAGCGUGGGGAGCAAACAGGAUUAGAUACCCC